CCUACGGGCGGCAGCAGUGAGGAAUAUUGGUCAAUGGACGCAAGUCUGAACCAGCCAUGCCGCGUGCAGGAAGACGGCUCUAUGAGUUGUAAACUGCUUUUGUACGAGGGUAAACGCAGAUACGCGUAUCUGUCUGAAAGUACCGUACGAAUAAGGAUCGGCUAACUCCGUGCCAGCAGCCGCGGUAAUACGGAGGAUUCAAGCGUUAUCCGGAUUUAUUGGGUUUAAAGGGUGCGUAGGCGGUCGGAUAAGUUAGAGGUGAAAUCCCGAGGCUCAACUUCGGAAUUGCCGCUGAUACUGUUCGUCUAGAGAGUAGUUGCGGUAGGCGGAAUGUAUGGUGUAGCGGUGAAAUGCUUAGAGAUCAUACAGAACACCGAUUGCGAAGGCAGCUUACCAAGCUACUUCUGACGUUGAGGCACGAAAGCGUGGGGAGCAAACAGGAUUAGAUACCCCUGUAGUC
rnacentral:rRNA from 1 species